GCCUGUGGCGACACACCUCUCAGACACACUGCCGUCUCCACAGCUGCCAGCUGUGAGGGGCUGCAGGACGCCUGACAACAACAACACACACACACAUCCAUCCCUGUAGUAUACAGCGUUGGACUAAGAGGUCUUCUGGCUCGGAGCGCCGCUGUGUGGCCUGUUGUUCCGUCUUCUGUUGGGGAGUACAUGUCCUGACCAGCGAGCCAGUGGGGCUCCACAGGGUCCGACCGGUCCAGGAGCAGGAGCUGCACACGGGACAGGGAGCCCAGGUCCCCUGAGUCACAGCCCACUGUCAGAGCAGCCAGGCCUGGGGACAUCUCUGCAGAGGUGGCAUACAGUAUACAGGACAACUGAAGCAUUACGUGAAACAGCAGAUCCAACACAUCAGAACUAAAGCAUUAAAAAUGGACUAACGGAGUCCAUGGCAUUAGUCAGUCCAUCUACUAACUCAUUUAAUUUUCUUUCUUGACAUUUAGCAGACACUCUUAUCCAGAGAACAUACAUAUAUUUUCAUGCUGAUCCCCUGUGGGAUGCAAACCCACAACCCUGGUGUUGCAAGAGACAUGCUCUACCAAUUGAGCUACAAGGGACUCAACAAAUAAUACAUUAGUCAGGACCAGAUCACAGGGACCCCUGGAUAACCAGGGAUAGGCCAGAGAUAGCCUCUCUGAACCAGAUUAGAGGUAGAGGAAAUAGUCCUGUUGUAUGGAUCAGUGAGGUGUGUGUGCAAAUAUGACUGACAACCCUCCAGCUCCACCCCCCCAGUCCUAGGCUCCAAAGUUCUCUGUCACGGCCAAUUAAAAGGGGAUCAGUAAGAGUGUGGGCUCCCUGCCCAUGCAAAUCCUCGACCCACGCCGUCCAGGCAGAGAGCAGGGUGUGGAGCUGCUGUUCCCUGGGAGGGGAUUUCACACAGCUGCUGGGCUGGAGCUGCCUCAUAUCACGCUCCGCUGCAAGUCAACCCUGCUUCUCCUGUCAAUGCAAUCUCAGUCCCACCAUCUCACAGCCAUAGUGGAAUGCAUUGUGUUUUAUAGCGCGUAAAAAGUAUCACAUCUGGAUAGUUUUCUUGCUGUUAAGUACAGUACAGCUUUUUUUACAGUAUGUCCUUUGAGCGACUAACUUUUAGAGACUUUGAGCGACUUGAAAUGAAUUCCACCUAGAUCAGGGGAAGACAACCCUGUUCCUGGAGUGAUGGAGGUACUGCAGGAUGAUGUUCCAACUAGGCACCACACCUGACCAACCGAGCUAAUUCCUCAGUUCAGUGAUUCCCUACAUUCAACACACCUGGUGCCUGUGGACCUCUAGGACCAGGGUUGCCUACCCCUAUCAUAGGGAAUGCUCCUGCCUCCACAAUGUGUUGCGUGGGUCUCUGGGUGUGUUUCUGUUUGUCAGGUAAACCCCUUCAGGUGAGAACAAAAGGGAACUGGCUGUCUGAUUGAUGAAGGAGUUGUGGUGAAGGAAGUCCCGUGGUGAAACACAUUGUGAUGACACACUUUCAGUUAGGCUGGGAGUUAACCCCCUCAUUAGCCAUGAGAAUGCAACCCAUUGUAAAGACACACUGUUAUAGAUAACAGGGGUCUAACCCAGUGAUUAAAGUGUUAACUAGCUAUACUGCCACCCAGACGGAGAGUGGACAUACACACUUAGAUGCCUGUGAGUCAGUAGCAAAGUUUAAGAGGUCAGUCAGUUUAAGACAGUUUUACAUGUAUUUGCUUUCCAGGCUCUAUACUGAUAAUAGAUGUCUAUAUUUGUCAAUUGAGGAAGAUGUUACACCACUGACAUGAUCCCACCACAUCCUCAGGGCAAAGGUCAUGGAGGUCAGACGGAGGUUCAGGUCAGGUUAAACAUCCUAAACACCUUGUCAGGGAUUAGAGGGGAUGAGAGAAGCUUGAGGAAGUCCUCAGUGAGUGAGAAAAUCACUGUCUGCGUUGGGUAAUGUUCCACUUCACAGCUCACUGAACUGACCAACCUCAGGAGACACACACACAGACACACACGCAUUUACUGUACACAGACAAAGACAUGACACACUGUUCCACAACAGAGAGCUGAGAUACACACAUCACCGUCACACCCCAGUCCAUUACAUUAGAGAGGCUGAGGAAGGAGAGCAUGUCUCAUUAAUGGUGUUCAGACAAACAUGGCCACAACAACAACAACAAAUAGGAAAAAGAUAAUCAGGUGCCGUGACCUUUGCAUUGACAUAACUGUCUAAAUAAUGCAAAUUCAUUUUAAAACCAUAGACUGCCCAGGUAGAAACAACUCUAAACAUCAGGUACAUUCUACAAGUAGCUGGUUAAGCAUUCACUUGCUCUAAAAAAAAAUUACGGUUAAUUCACCAACUUUGACACAAAGUAAAAAGCCAACGGCAUACAACAAAGCUCUUCUAUUCCAAGUGUCUACAGUUAGAGGAGCACAUGUUUGACAUAAAUAUAGAGCACGUUUCUGAUGUAAUCAUUUUGUAGACCCUUGACAGGUGUGACAUCAGUGGUAUUUUAUACGAUCUGCUGGACAUAAUGUGGGUGUACAGGACCUGUACCAGGUGGGCUGCAGUCUGCUGGGCUGAGUGGCUGGUCUAAGGACAGACAGGAGCCGGUCCGCGGGGCGAUGGCUUCCAGUUCAUCAAACACAUGGGACUGGCUAGAGCUGACCUGAGAACAGCGGGACCAGGAGGACACUGUGUCACUG
ensembl:lncRNA